UACGUAGGGGCAAGCGUUGUCCGGAAUCAUUGGGCGUAAAGAGCGUGUAGGCGGCCAGAUAAGUCCGCUGUGAAAUCUCGAGGCUCAACUUCGAGCUGUCGGUGGAAACUGUCUGGCUAGAGUCCGGAAGAGGAGAAUGGAAUUCCUGGUGUAGCGGUGAAAUGCGCAGAUAUCAGGAGGAACACCGGUGGCGAAGGCGGGUCUCUGGGCCGUAACUGACGCUGAGGAGCGAAAGCGUGGGUAGCAAACAGG
rnacentral:rRNA from 1 species